ACUGAGGCGGCCAUACCGCCAGAUGGCCCAGCAGAGAACCAAGACACGGUCACCAGGUCAGGUCGACAAGUUGUCAGACCCCGCUACCUGACAGACUAUACUCAGUGAUUAGGGUAUGGACUAUGAAAAAAAA